rnacentral:rRNA from 1 species
GGUGAACGGCUGGCGGCGUGCCUAACACAUGCAAGUCGAGCGGUGCAGUUUGAAGCUUCGGUGGAAAGCUGCAUAGCGGCGGACGGGUGAGGAAAACGUAGGAACGUGCCCCUUGGAGUUGGAUAGCCACGGGAAACUGUGGGUAAACCGACAUAGACUCGAGAGAGUAAAGGCCGAAAGGCGCCAAGGGAGCGGCCUGCGGCCCAUCAGGUAGUUGGUAGUGUAAAGGACUACCAAGCCGACGACGGGUAGCCGGUCUGAGAGGAUGGCCGGCCACAAGGGCACUGAGAGACGGGCCCUACUCCUACGGGAGGCAGCAGUGGGGGAUUUUGGACAAUGGGCGAAAGCCUGAUCCAGCGACGCCGCGUGGAGGACGAAGCCCUUCGGGGUGUAAACUCCUUUUCUCAGGGAAAAAGGAUGAUGGUACCUGAGGAAUAAGCCCCGGCUAACUACGUG